rnacentral:misc_RNA from 1 species
ACCAUAGGAGACAACUAAGCAGCUCCCUCCCAGCAAUCGGCAAAUCAUAUAGCGCCAGCGGACCUCAACUGUCUCACCACCUCCCGUGACUGAGCCACGAUCGUGCCUCCACAGAGUUUACUCGGGGUCUGACGACCCUUUCAGCGUGCCUUCACGCAGCCCCGUACGCGCGUCAUGUCGCACGCUCACCCUCGGACGCAUCCCGGCACGAAGAGGGACGUCGCGCAGACAUCCCCAUGUCCACCAGGCACGCUCUCGCUCCGCGUGUCGUUUGCGGCCUCAAAGCCGGAGGACCGAAAACGAGCAAACAAUUAUCGCACGGCGUCGCAGCAGUACGAACUGUCUUUCAUCUCCACCGAAAUGCUCCUUGUCGAGCCCCUCGAGAGACUUGUCGUGCCGCGCUCACCUCUUUACCCGCCGAACAUAAUUUCCUUGGCCAACCGCGACACAGAUACAACAGGAGGUGAAGACAGCACAUCCUCCGCCGAAAACGAGCCCAUCACCGUGGGCAUCUCAGACCACAACGGAAAAACGACUGCAAAGCAUGGCGAAUGCCGGAAGAGAACGGAACGGGACGCAGCGAGGGGUGCUCUUCUCAUAUAUCCCACGAAGAUCGACAACCUGCGACGCUUUCGCAUCCUCUUCGCCGGUGUGAUUCUCUCGAUCAGCAGCUCCACGCAGGGGAUCCACUCCAUCUUUGGCGUGCUCCUCCUUCAGCAGGCGUACCAGUUCAGCGUACGGGAAAUGACUGUCGUCUACCUCAGCGGCAUCUCCGCCGGCUUGUUCGCCCUCCCUUUCGGUGCGCUGUACGACUGGUUCGGGCCACGCGUGGUGGUGGCGCUCGGCAGCAUCAUCGCGGCUCUCGGCCACCUGCUCUUCGCCCUCACCUUUGGUGGCCACAUCCCGCACACGGUGUUCAACUGCGCCGUCUUCUACGCCGUGAUGUGCUGGGGCUGUUACGCGCUCCACGUGGCCACACUUCCUGCGGUGCUGACGCACAUGCCACGCGAUCGCGGCCAGCCGACGGGGCUGCUGCAGACGUUCUCCGGGCUUGGCGCAUCCCUCUUUGCGUGCCUGUUCCGCGGCUUCUUCAAGGACAACUUCGAGAACCUCAUGUGGUUCAUGUUCGCGGUGACGCUGGCCGCCGGCGCUGGUGGCGCGUGGUACCUGGAGGACGCGUCAUACGUGGUAAACCGGUGGCGGCAGCGCGGCAUCACGCCGCGCGAACAGCUGCGCGCCUACCUCAUCCGCAACCGCUACAUGUCGCAGCUUGUGCCGAAGCGGCGCUAUGCCAUCAUGGCGGUCAUCCUCGUGCUGCUGAACUUCUAUCUGACCAUCCAGACCGUCUGCGUGGCAUACCUCGCUGCCGACAUCACGCCGGGCAAACUGCGCGGCAUUGCGAUAGGCGCCAUUGCGAUUACGCUGCUGAUUCUUGUGCUUGUGGUGCCGCUGGAUAGCAUUGACGGGCUGUCGGAACAGGACAAGCAGGUGAUCGCCGCGGCGAAGGCAAAGGAGGAGGCGCUGCGCGUCAUGCAAGAGGAACGCUAUCGCCAGCGGCACCUUAAAGCGCGCCAAGCACAACGUUAUCGCAGCAAGACGCGACAAGAAGAGUGCGUGAAGCCGUGCCACUGCCCUGAUGAAGUGGGAGAAGGGGAGCGAUCAGCGGAUCAGGAGCUGCCGGUGGGUGGGCCGCUCAAUGACGACAGAGACAGUGGCAUAGGAGCACCUGAGCACGGCGCCCAGAGACUUGCACGGCCGUUGCUGCGCUUGGACGAUGAGAGCGACGCGGACUCGAACGUGGAGACGAGCUCCCCGAUCGAUGUUGCGGUGCCUGCUGGACCCGUUAGCGCGGGCCCGCCCCAAGCGCCUCAUCACCGAGGGGGGCUCUUGUCGGAGUCUCUCGGUCUGCCGCUGUACGAGCUCACCGGGACGGAGCGGCCGCUCAUCACCGUCUACAUGCACGAAGAGAAGGACUUGGAUGGAGAGCCGCCGCACUCGCACUCCAGUCACCCCCAGGAGCAGAUACAGCUGCAAGCUUCGAACGACUCGACUGGCGCCACGAAUAAAGACCGUCGCCCCGAGUCGCAGCAGAGCAGCUUGGAGAACUCCUUCACUGUACACCUCGAAGGCAACUACAACAGACUGCAGACCUCAGAUGCUCACACUCCUAGCGCUCGCUCCGACCCUGCGCACGUGGAACUCCGACGCACUGCUUCGUCCACGUACAGCAACCCGCGCGUGGAGACAAUCACGCUGUGCGGCGAGGUGUACGUCGUGCCGGUGUACCAGACCACGUUCCUCGAGAGCCUCACCUAUCUUGACCUGUGGCUCAUCUUCUACACCACGCUCUGCGUCUGGGGCGUAGGUCUCGUGAUGACCAGCAACUGGAACAUCCAGAUCAUGGUCAAGGCACGCUACGGCGCCAUGGAGCCGAAGCACUACGUCCUCUUCGCCGCGAUGGCCGGCGUGUCCGUGGCGGGCGGCCGCGUCUUUCUCGGUAUCUACGAGCGUGUGCUGCAGGUGCUGCGCGAGCGCGCCGGCACCGUCGUUGUUCCCACCCUCAUCUACCCCAUUGCGUCCGUCGGGCUGUUCGUUGGCAUGCUCUUCUGGAUCGCGCUGCCCGGUGAGCAGGUGCUCAUCCUGGCCUACAUUCUCGGCGCAUUUUUCUACGGCAUGAGCACGAGCGCCACCUUCUACGUGCUGGGCACCGUCUUCGACCGCGACAUGGGCAUGCACUACGGCUUCUGCUAUGUCGGCGGCGGUGUCGGUUUCGCGCUGUGCUACUGGUGUGCGUGGCACCUCACCUACGAGCGCGAGGCGUCGCCGCAGACGCUGGGCUACUGCGUUGGCGCGCGCCGCUGCAUGAAUCGCGCCGUUGGCGUCUACCUUGCCCUCGCCUUCUCCUCGAUCGCUUCUUCCUACCUUGUGCACCGCCGCUACUCGAAGCUGGUGCGCGGCAAGCUGGCGCAGCGCCGUGUCAUUGUCCCGCGUAUCAAGCAGUUUCUUGUGGCGUGCGGAUGCUGUGAAAACGGCGGUCAGGUGAAGGAGAGUGGGAACACGUGUAUCAUCGGUGCUGUAGAGACAAAGGAGAAGGGCGUACAGUUACAGGAUUGAUCGCAGUCCGUCAGCGAUGCGAACUAUCGAGCGAUAGUCUCGUCUACGAGCAUCACAUGGGGGCCUUUCGAGGGGAGGAGCGGGGAGGGGGGGCAGUUGCCUUCGGUGUUCUGUGCACAAAUGUGUUCUCUGCCGGGCAUGCGGAAGCUCGCGCUGGUAUUGUGUUCAGCCUUUGUGCUGUUGGCCUUUUUGUCUCCUUUCUUCUCUUGUGAUGUGCUCGCUUCUUUUGGAUUUCACGCGUGAUGUCUGCGCACCGGGCACCGAGAUGCAUAGGCCAACGGGGCGCGGUCGCGAGUGUUUGAGUGCGGGACUGUAUUGCGUUUCUGCGCGCACGCAGACCGCGCUGCAUACGCUUUCGCUGUUCAGGCUGUACUUUGGCUUGUGCUUCUGCCGUGGAUAUCACUCCCUCUCUCUUUCUUCGUCUCCCUCCUACCUCGCGGUAUGAGUUCUCCUGUGUGCUGCUCACUUGGUUCCCCGUAAAGUAAUGGUGCAGUUAACCGUAGCGAAAGAGAGGAAGGCAGGCACGCGCAUGUUCCAUUUCGUCGACGUUUGGUGCAUCGGUGCGUGUUGAGCGUGUGGGUUCCGUAUAUAUAUUUCGCUUUUUGUUUUCGCUGGAUGUUUAUCCUUCUUUUGAUAUCUCAUUUUCCUGUUACAUGUGCUAUGCUAACAAGCUGUGAGGGGGAGCUGCUGCGCAGAAGCAGGGAGAGGAAGAGGGGUUCCGAAUCGAGAUGGGGCGCAUAGCGCAUGCACCGCUCAUGCGGCAGCCUCGCCGUGUCAUCCCUCCUCCUCCAUCUACUCUCCAUGCGACUGAUGUGCUUGCCUCUUGCAUUGCCUCGGCAAAGAGUUCGGCGAGGGCGACUGCGCGUCUGCUGCAUUGGCCCCCCUCAGCGUUCCAUGAUGGCGCACCGCGUGCGCUCUUUUCCGACGUUCGGUGGUUCGUGCACGUGCUGCGCACUUUAUACGCACCUGUCCGUUUGCCUCUGAUUAGACGGCUGGCGGAUACCGUCGCGUUCCUCUGCUUACUCCUUCUGCGCUGUCGUGGCUGAUGGGGUCUCUCGUCUCCCCUCCCUCCUUCCCUCCUCCUUCUCCUCCCUGUUCGACUUCCACGUCUGAUAUUGCCCAUUUGCAUUUCUUUUUUCCCCUGAAGCGCUGCAGAUGUGCGGGAGACACGUGUGCCUUCGACAGAGAAAAAGAGAGGGGACCAGAGAAAUCAUGCCUGCACUGUUGUCUUUCUCUGUCUACCUGCGAGGUUUACUUUCUUUCCUUCUGGAUGCGUAUUUCUCUGCCCUUUUUUUUUGCUGUUGUUUGCUUGGUCAGACGGGCUGUGAAGGCGUGCAGGAGGGGGAUUGAUACGGAAUCGACGUCGUCAGCCGCCCGUCGACUGGAGCUUAAAAAAAAAACAGAGGUACGCUCACUUACACAUAAUAUCGACUCAGCUGCAGCGAAAAAGGCGCGAUGCAACGGACGAGCACCAUGUGUGUGUAUCUGUUCGUAGGUGCUGAUGCGUGGUAUGUGCUGCUUCUGCCUUUUAUCAUGAGGAAUGCUCGGUCUUUCUCUCUGCGGCGCUGUCAGGGUUGAAGGCAGCCACUGGUGCCCAGCAGGCGGGUUCAACGGUGGUGGUGGCCUGCGCUGCAGCACCGGCACAUUGUUUGGUGCCUUUUUCUUUUGUUUUGAUAAGCUCCUUUCUCUGGGCAUGGGCGACUGUGGGGACUCGGCAGGGAGAGAAAUCCCGAUCCCGCUGCAUUAUUUUCUCGUGCGGCCGGCGGACCGCCUCGUACCAUGAAGCCCAGCCCUCUGAUAAGCCAAAUGCCGGUCUUUUUUUUUUCAGUUCGAGAUGUGGCUGUGGGGCCUUUCCCUUCUUUGUGUACGUAUAGCAAGCAUUGCCUCCUCCGUUUCUCGUUAUGUUCCCUUCCUUAUCUCCUCCGUCAUUUUUUUUUUCGUUCUGUCUGUGCCCCUCCCCUCCAUACAUCUCUCUCUUACCCGGAAGCGUCCACGCACGAACACGUGAGUCAGGCCAAACGUCUCCUCGAUGACACCGCUGGCGUCGGGGGCCGUCUUUCCAUAGAAAAGGAAAGAGGUCUCUUGCUGCGGCUCUCUUCGUGAUGAAGGCAGGCGAAGCGUACGCUGGACAGUCGUGAGACCCUUCCGUUCUUGUGUUCUCGUCUUCGCCGCUUUUCCCUUUCAUUUACGCCCUCUCUCCCUGUUCUCCCCUUCACUGUCAGCGUUGGUGCCUUCUGCUCACCGCUUCAGAAGCGUGCGCCGCCGCUCUGCAUGUGUGCGUGAUUGCCUAUACGGUCAUGUGUACAUGUAUAAAGUUUUUUCUUUGUGUUCCUUCUUUUUUUUCAUUAGGGUAUGGCUGCCAGCUUAGAUGUGCAUGCGCAGACGGCAUAAGUUUCUCGUUAGUCCUCGGCUUUCGUAACGAACUCGUCUGAGCUG